rnacentral:rRNA from 1 species
UACGGAGGGUGCUAGCGUUGUUCGGAAUUACUGGGCGUAAAGGGCGCGUAGGCGGCCGUUUGCGUCGGAUGUGAAAGCCCGGGGCUCAACCUCGGAACGGCAUUCGAUACGGGACGGCUGGAGACCGGGAGAGGAGAGUGGAAUAGCCAGUGUAGAGGUGAAAUUCGUAGAUAUUGGCUGGAACACCGGUGGCGAAAGCGGCUCUCUGGCCCGGUCCUGACGCUGAGGCGCGAAAGCGUGGGGAGCAAACAGG